rnacentral:misc_RNA from 1 species
UCCGGCUUAUCACCGGCAGUUUCUUUAGAGUGCUCAACUAAAUGGUAGCAACUAAAGACGAGGGUUGCGCUCGUUGCGGGACUUAACCCAACAUCUCACGACACGAGCUGAAGACGGCCAUGCAUCACCUGUCACUGCGGCCCGAAGGCACAUCCAACUUUCGCUGGACUUGGCAGGAUGUCAAGCCUUGGUAAGGUUCUUCGCUUACCGUCGAAUUAAACAACACGCUCCACCGCUUGUGCGGGUCCCCGUCAAUUCCUUUAUGUUUUAAGCUUGCGCUCGUACUCCACAGGCGGGAUGCUUAACGCGUUAGCUUCGCUACUAGAAGGGUCGAUACUUCUAACAGCUAGCAUCCAUAGUUUACGGCGUGGACUAC